rfam:Ictidomys tridecemlineatus contig063713, whole genome shotgun sequence.
CCUUUGGCUGUCCUCACAGCCACACACACAAAUUAACUCAAAGUG